AGACUCCACAGGCGUUAGCACCGUCUCGCCGCCGAUUUGAGUUUGCACGACCACCCCUCACCUUAUUCUAGAAGGAAAUUCACUUCAAUCCUUCGUUUGCAUUCGUGUUCCAUCAUCGCAGCUCACGUCGGUUCACCGCCACUGUAUGCUUGCCGUCGUCGCUGCCGCGCCUCUAGUCGGAUCCUCCGCGUCGCGUGCUUGUGUUUGGUCUCUCUCCUCCGUCACUCUCUUGCUUGGUGUCGAGUUCGCCGUCGACGAGGAAGCUUUGCCACCGUUUCUCCAGUGCUUCACAUACGGAGAUACUAAAUAAGAGCAAAUUGGUUGCUAUUGAUGCUGGAAACAGGGGCUACCCUCCGAAUAAGUUGAGGGCUUAUCAAGAGUAUGCUGCGGAAAAAUCCAGAGCUUAGGCAAGCAUCUACUACAUAUACUAUCGUCUACUCCUAGACAUCCAAACCUCAUUGAGCACACCAGUGAGAAAGCCAAGGAAGCUAAAGAUAUACAAGUGAGAAAACUAGUGGAUUUGAAUUU